rnacentral:rRNA from 1 species
AGAGUUUGAUCAUGGCUCAGAUUGAACGCUGGCGGCAGGCUUAACACAUGCAAGUCGAGCGGAGCGAGGGUGCUUGCACCUUAGCUUAGCGGCGGACGGGUGAGUAAUGCUUAGGAAUCUGCCUAUUAGUGGGGGACAACAUUCCGAAAGGAAUGCUAAUACCGCAUACGCCCUACGGGGGAAAGCAGGGGAUCUUCGGACCUUGCGCUAAUAGAUGAGCCUAAGUCGGAUUAGCUAGUUGGUGGGGUAAAGGCCUACCAAGGCGACGAUCUGUAGCGGGUCUGAGAGGAUGAUCCGCCACACUGGGACUGAGACACGGCCCAGACUCCUACGGGAGGCAGCAGUGGGGAAUAUUGGACAAUGGGCGGAAGCCUGAUCCAGCCAUGCCGCGUGUGUGAAGAAGGCCUUUUGGUUGUAAAGCACUUUAAGCGAGGAGGAGGCUACUAGUAUUAAUACUACUGGAUAGUGGACGUUACUCGCAGAAUAAGCACCGGCUAACUCUGUGCCAGCAGCCGCGGUAAUACAGAGGGUGCGAGCGUUAAUCGGAUUUACUGGGCGUAAAGCGUGCGUAGGCGGCUUUUUAAGUCGGAUGUGAAAUCCCCGAGCUUAACUUGGGAAUUGCAUUCGAUACUGGGAAGCUAGAGUAUGGGAGAGGAUGGUAGAAUUCCAGGUGUAGCGGUGAAAUGCGUAGAGAUCUGGAGGAAUACCGAUGGCGAAGGCAGCCAUCUGGCCUAAUACUGACGCUGAGGUACGAAAGCAUGGGGAGCAAACAGGAUUAGAUACCCUGGUAGUCCAUGCCGUAAACGAUGUCUACUAGCCGUUGGGGCCUUUGAGGCUUUAGUGGCGCAGCUAACGCGAUAAGUAGACCGCCU